UGUACAAAGAAGAGGAGGCCAAAAUGACCUACAGUUUUGAUAUUGAUGAGCAGGAGCCAACAGAAUGCGCAUGUCCUCAGUGACAGAAGAAACCAGUGACUCUGACUACAAAUCCAAGAAGAUGGACGAGAGCACAAAAACAGCUUCAGUCCCUGAUGACAGUGUUGCCAUCUAUGAGUCACAAUUGACACAACUCCAGGAGCAGCUGGUGGAGACCAUGAUAGAGAACCAGAACUUGAAGAGAGAAUUAGAGUUGAUGAAAGAUGCUGAUAAGAAACUGGAGAAGAACUUGGAAAUACAGACAGGGAAAUCAAAUACCUUGCAAGGAAAUAAGAAGUGUUACAGAGGAUGAGAGAUGCUGAACUCAAGUCACAGUGGGUUGAUUUGUCAGAAGAGGCAACUGAGACAUUUGCACAAGUUCCUGAAGGUACCCAAGACCUCCAGCAGCAGAAAUGUUGGUAAUAGCUGGUGUCAAGCUUCAGCUGUCUUAAUAGAUAUCCAGAACUAACAGACUGAAGUUAUGUCAUGUACAUGUAUCUGCAGCAUGGGACGGGUUAUCUUCUUUACCACAGUCCAUAUCCAACCUCCCACACCUCACAGUGUUGGAACUAUCUG